CAACCUGCCCUGGACUCUGGGAUAAGCGCUGGAAACGGCGUCUAAUACUGGAUAUGAGACGUGAUCGCAUGGUCGUGUUUGGAAAGAUUUUUCGGUCUGGGAUGGGCUCGCGGCCUAUCAGCUUGUUGGUGAGGUAAUGGCUCACCAAGGCGUCGACGGGUAGCCGGCCUGAGAGGGUGACCGGCCACACUGGGACUGAGACACGGCCCAGACUCCUACGGGAGGCAGCAGUGGGGAAUAUUGCACAAUGGGCGGAAGCCUGAUGCAGCAACGCCGCGUGAGGGAUGACGGCCUUCGGGUUGUAAACCUCUUUUAGCAGGGAAGAAGCGAAAGUGACGGUACCUGCAGAAAAAGCGCCGGCUAACUACGUGCCAGCAGCCGCGGUAAUACGUAGGGCGCAAGCGUUAUCCGGAAUUAUUGGGCGUAAAGAGCUCGUAGGCGGUUUGUCGCGUCUGCUGUGAAAUCCCGAGGCUCAACCUCGGGCCUGCAGUGGGUACGGGCAGACUAGAGUGCGGUAGGGGAGAUUGGAAUUCCUGGUGUAGCGGUGGAAUGCGCAGAUAUCAGGAGGAACACCGAUGGCGAAGGCAGAUCUCUGGGCCGUAACUGACGCUGAGGAGCGAAAGGGUGGGGAGCAAACAGG
rnacentral:rRNA from 1 species